rnacentral:rRNA from 1 species
GACGAACGCUGGCGGCGUGCAUAACACAUGCAAGUCGAGCGAUGAAGUUCCUUCGGGAAUGGAUUAGCGGCGGACGGGUGAGUAACACGUGGGUAACCUGCCUCAUAGAGGGGAAUAGCCUUCCGAAAGGAAGAGUAAUACCGCAUAAGAUUGUAGUGCCGCAUUGCAUAGCAAUUAAAGGAGCAAUCGGCUAUGAGAUGGACCCGCGUCGCAUUAGCUAGUUGGUGAGGUAACGGGUCACCAAGGCGACGAUGCGUAGCCGACCUGAGAGGGUGAUCGGCCACAUUGGGACUGAGACACGGCCCAGACUCCUACGGGAGGCAGCAGUGGGGAAUAUUGCACAAUGGGGGAAACCCUGAUGCAGCAACGCCGCGUGAGUGAUGACGGUCUUCGGAUUGUAAAACUCUGUCUUCAGGGACGAUGAUGACGGUACCUGAGGAGGCAGCCACGGCUAACUACGUGCCAGCAGCCGCCGUAA